rnacentral:rRNA from 1 species
AAUCAACGCUGGCGGCGUGCCUCAGACAUGCAAGUCGAACGAGAAGGCCCCCUUCGGGGGCCGGACAGUGGCGCACGGGUGAGUAACACGUGGGUAAUUUACCUUCGGGUGGGGAACAACAGCCGGAAACGGCUGCUAAUACCGCAUAAUGCAGCGGCACCUAAUGGUGACAGUUGUUAAAGCGGGGGAUCGUAAGACCUCGCGCCUGAAGAGAAGCCCGCGGCGGAUUAGGUAGUUGGUGAGGAAUGGCUCACCAAGCCUGCGAUCUGUAGCCGGCCUGAGAGGGCGGUCGGCCACACUGACACUGAACAACGGGUCAGACUCCUACGGGAGGCAGCAGUCGGGAAUUUUGGGCAAUGGGCGCAAGCCUGACCCAGCAACGCCGCGUGAAGGAUG